UAAAGGCACCUGAUUGCAGCUCCAUUCACACAUGACAGAGUCGGGCUGCAGAUGGAGAGCCUGGUCUGAGUCACACAGAAAUGCAUCAUAGCACCUGGUGUGUGUAUCAGAACCUCUCUCCACUGUUCACAGUGCAGAUGCUUCUGGAUUGGCAUUGAGGAGUGUCUUAAUUCCAAGAGGAAACUAAUAUGAAAUCACAAGCAAGUGAAAAUUUACAGGGAUUAGAAGCACCAUCAUUCUGUUUACUAGCAUCUUUGCAUGACUCACAGAGGUACUCCCUGGCUCAGAGGCUUUGAAACUAAAGAUAAGCACACAACAUAUCCCUGUAAGGCUGAGUUGUGAGAGACAGAUGGAGACCAUAGCUGGCAGACCAACUACAUCCCUGUCACCUGGGAGCUUGUGAGGGGAAGAAGGUUAAAUCUUAUCCCUAUCUACUGAAUCAAAACCUGAGUUUGAACAAGAUUCACAGGUGAUUGGUAUACUCAUUAAAGUUUGAUAAGCAUAAUCUAAAAUUAUGAGAUCAUCUCCAACAUGCUUCAUUAACACAUAAACCUGUUGACAGUUAUGUUUAUAGAUGUUGAUGAUGAAAAUUAAUAACAAACUGGAUGGCGUUUUGUUUUGUCUCAUGCU